GUUACUUCAGAAACACCCAACUACAACUACAACCCGGUUACUUCAGAAAUAUCCAACUACAACUACAACCCUGUUACUUCAUAAACACCCAACUACAACCCCGUUACUUCAGAAACACCCAACUACAACUACAACCCUGUUACUUCAGAAACACCCAACUACAACUACAACCCCGAUACUUCAGAAACACCCAACUACAACUACAACCCCGUUACUUCAGAAACACCCAACUACAACUACAACCCGGUUACUUCAGAAACACCCAACUACAACUACAACCCGGUUACUUCAGAAAUAUCCAACUACAACUACAACCCUGUUACUUCAUAAACACCCAACUACAACCCCGUUACUUCAGAAACACCCAACUACAACUACAACCCUGUUACUUCAGAAACACCCAACUACAACUACAACCCUGUUACUUCAGAAACACCCAACUACAACUACAACCCCGAUACUUCAGAAACACCCAACUACAACUACAACCCCGUUACUUAAGAAACACCCAACUACAACUACAACCCGGUUACUUCAGAAACACCCAACUACAACUACAACCCGGUUACUUCAGAAAUAUCCAACUACAACUACAACCCUGUUACUUCAUAAACACCCAACUACAACCCCGUUACUUCAGAAACACCCAACUACAACUACAACCCUGUUACUUCAGAAACACCCAACUACAACUACAACCCUGUUACUUCAGAAACACCCAACUACAACUACAACCCCGAUACUUCAGAAACACCCAACUACAACUACAACCCCGUUACUUCAGAAACACCCAACUACAACUACAACCCGGUUACUUCAGAAACACCCAACUACAACUACAACCCGGUUACUUCAGAAAUAUCCAACUACAACUACAACCCUGUUACUUCAUAAACACCCAACUACAACCCCGUUACUUCAGAAACACCCAACUACAACUACAACCCCGUUACUUCAGAAACACCCAAAUACAACUACAACCCUGUUACUUCAGAAACACCCAACUACAACCCCGUUACUUCAGAAACACCCAACUACAACUACAACCCCAUUACUUCAGAAACACCCAACUACAACUACAACCCAGUUACUUCAGAAACACCCAGCUACAACUACAACCCUGUUACUUCAGAAACACCCAACUACAACCCCGUUACUUCAGAAACACCCAACUACAACUACAACCCCAUUACUUCAGAAACACCCAACUACAACUACAACCCCGUUACUUCAGAAACACCCAACUACAACUACAACCCAGUUACUUCAGAAACACCCAGCUACAACUACAACCCCGUUACUUCAGAAACACCCAGCUACAACUACAACCUGGCUACUUCAGAAACACCCAAGUACAGAAAUAUUUUAAAAGCCUAAUGGCUACAAAUGUUAAUUUCAUUUUCACCCAGGACAGACCUUGGCUGAGUUCCUGACUUCCUUCCCUUAAGAAUCAGAUUCGAUUUUUGAACUGUAUUUAGUUCUGUAAAAUUAUUGCUUGUGUAAGUUUAAUAUCAAAACUGCAUUCCAGCAAAAGCACUAUUUAAAGUAUUUAAGGCAAAUCAAACCUACCAUCUGUAACAGAGUUGUUCCUUCCCAAAUGUGCUCAGUGAACUGGAAAGUCACCGUGUGUGAUUGUUAGUGUUAAUGUUAAAGAUAAGAGAAGGACCUUUGACUUGUAAUUGGGUAUUUCUGUAAGUCUGAACUUGACAGUUACGCUUAAUCAUAAACACCAAAGAGAUGGAGAGAUAAGAGACCAGUUCCAAAUACUAAUGCUGUAUGUGCACAUGUGCAUGUGUGUGUGAGUAGUUUGUGUGUAU
ensembl:lncRNA